rnacentral:lncRNA from 1 species
UCGUGCUAAUUGCAUUCCCCGCCUAUGCAUAGAAAAGCAAGAAUACCCUUUCAGUCCUCUUCACUUCCUAUCUGAUUCAUCUAGUCGCCUUCAAGGAUGGCAGGAUUGGACCGACGAAAUCCUUGGAAAUGCUGAAUACGUGGAAAUACUAAAAAAUGCAAGCAUCUUUCGUUGCGUUCAACUGUGUAGAGACCUACGCAGCCACCAUGACCAUAACGCUCUUACUGUGUUGAUCUCACGAUGGUGUUCCUCUACUUGCACAUUUGUCACUGCCUGGGGGGAAUUCACCCCUACUCUAGAGGAUGUAUAUGCCCUCUAUCAGUAAGUUCUCUUUUUUUAUUCCUUUCAUUCAUUCUCAUUUUUCUGAAAUAUAUAUAUAUAUAUAUAUAUUUAUCUUGAAUUACAUCUUGUAGCCUUCCCGUUGUUGCUUCGAACUCCUGCGGCCCUUCUAACAUGUCCACUAAAGAUAACGAAUGUGUUGCCUACUUGAUGGAAGCCUUCAAGCAAUCUUCCCGCUUCAUCUCCCGCUUCAAGGGCGAUAUACUCUUUCCAGACUUCGAGACUUCCAGUCGGCAGAAAAAUUCUUGGUUAUCCUGGGUACGCUACUUCUUCCGUGACUACAAGACCAACCAAUGGGACAGCUCUAUUCAUGACAAAUCUGUCCUUGCCUUUCGUGGAGAGACUUGUCCUUU